AUGAGUGGCGAACGGGUGAGUAAUACGUGAGUAACCUGCCCUUGACUCUGGGAUAAGCCCGGGAAACUGGGUCUAAUACUGGAUGCUACAUGUCACCGCAUGGUGGUGUGUGGAAAGGGUUUUACUGGUCUUGGAUGGGCUCACGGCCUAUCAGCUUGUUGGUGAGGUAAUGGCUCACCAAGGCGACGACGGGUAGCCGGCCUGAGAGGGUGACCGGCCACACUGGGACUGAGACACGGCCCAGACUCCUACGGGAGGCAGCAGUGGGGAAUAUUGCACAAUGGGCGGAAGCCUGAUGCAGCGACGCCGCGUGAGGGAUGACGGCCUUCGGGUUGUAAACCUCUUUCAGCAGGGAAGAAGCCACAAGUGACGGUACCUGCAGAAGAAGCGCCGGCUAACUACGUGCCAGCAGCCGCGGUAAUACGUAGGGCGCAAGCGUUGUCCGGAAUUAUUGGGCGUAAAGAGCUCGUAGGCGGUCUGUCGCGUCUGCUGUGAAAGCCCGGGGCUUAACCCCGGGUGUGCAGUGGGUACGGGCAGACUAGAGUGCAGUAGGGGAGACUGGAAUUCCUGGUGUAGCGGUGGAAUGCGCAGAUAUCAGGAGGAACACCGAUGGCGAAGGCAGGUCUCUGGGCUGUUACUGACGCUGAGGAGCGAAAGCAUGGGGAGCGAACAGGAUUAGAUACCCUGGUAGUCCAUGCCGUAAACGUUGGGCACUAGGUGUGGGGGACAUUCCACGUCUUCCGCGCCGUA
rnacentral:rRNA from 1 species